AUCCGAGUUAAAAGGUAGCCUGGUGGACAUGGCAUUUGCCCGGUAAGCGGAACACUGUGGGUUCGAUUCCUAUCCCUGGACA
rnacentral:tRNA from 1 species